GAUGAACGCUGGCGGCGUGCUUAACACAUGCAAGUCGAACGAAGCAUUUGCGACAGAUUUUUUCGGAAUGAAGUUGCUUAUGACUGAGUGGCGGACGGGUGAGUAACGCGUGGGUAACCUGCCUUGUACUGGGGGAUAGCAGCUGGAAACGGCUGGUAAUACCGCAUAAGCGCACAAUGUUGCAUGACAUGGUGUGAAAAACUCCGGUGGUAUAAGAUGGACCCGCGUCUGAUUAGCUAGUUGGUGAGAUAACAGCCCACCAAGGCGACGAUCAGUAGCCGACCUGAGAGGGUGACCGGCCACAUUGGAACUGAGACACGGCCCAGACUCCUACGGGAAGCAGCAGUGGGGAAUAUUGCACAAUGGAGGAAACUCUGAUGCAGCGACGCCGCGUGAGUGAAGAAGUAAUUCGUUAUGUAAAGCUCUAUCAGCAGGGAAGAUAGUGACGGUACCUGACUAAGAAGCUCCGGCUAAAUACGUG
rnacentral:rRNA from 1 species